rnacentral:rRNA from 1 species
UACGUAGGGGGCGAGCGUUGUCCGAAGUUACUGGGCGUAAAGCGCGCGUAGGCGGUCUCUUAAGUCCGGGGUGAAAGGUUCAGCGCUCAACGCGAACAGUGCCCUGGAGACUGGGGGGACUUGAGUGUGGGGAGGGGGCAGUGGAAUUCCUGGUGUAGCGGUGAAAUGCGCAGAUAUCAGGAAGAACACCCGUGGCGAAGGCGGCUCUCUGGGACGGUACUGACGCUGAGACGCGAAAGCGUGGGGGAGCAAACAGG